rnacentral:rRNA from 1 species
CCCUAUUAUUUUAGAAUGUUAAUUUUUGUGCCUGAGUAGUAUUAGUUAUGUUCUUGAAACUUAAAGAAUUUGGCGGUAUCUCAUUCCGUCCAGAGGAAUCUGUCCCGUUAUCGAUAGUCCACGUUGGACCUUACUUAUUUGCUUUUGGUUUGUAUACCGCCGUUUAUUGAUUAUCUUUUUAGAGGUUGUCUUAAUUUUCUGGUUUCUUUAUUUUGAUAUAUUUCAGGUCAAGGUGCAGCUUGUUUUUAAGUGGAUGAUGGAUUACAUUGUUAUUUGUUUAUGGAUUGUUGGUUUUAAUAUUGGCAUGAAAUUGGAUUUGGUUGUAAUGAUUUGUAGAUUGUUAUUGUGAUAAUUGGUUCUGAGAUAUGCACACAUCGCCCGUCGCUCUCGUUUGUUUAUUAUGAUGAGAUAAGUC